rnacentral:rRNA from 1 species
GACGUAGGGCGCGAGCGUUGUCCGGAUUUAUUGGGCGUAAAGAGCUCGUAGGCGGCUUGUCGCGUCGUCUGUGAAAUCUCGCGGCUCAACUGCGGGCUGGCAGUCGAUACGGGCAGGCUGGAGUUCGGUAGGGGAGACUGGAAUUCCCGGUGUAGCGGUGAAAUGCGCAGAUAUCGGGAGGAACACCGGUGGCGAAGGCGGUUCUCUGGGCCUGACCUGACGCUGAGGAGCGAAAGCGUGGGGAGCGAACAGG